rnacentral:rRNA from 1 species
AGUGAACGCUGGCGGUAGGCCUAACACAUGCAAGUCGAACGGCAGCACAGUAAGAGCUUGCUCUUACUGGUGGCGAGUGGCGGACGGGUGAGGAAUACAUCGGAAUCUACUUUUUCGUGGGGGAUAACGUAGGGAAACUUACGCUACUACCGCAUACGACCUACGGGUGAAAGCAGGGGAUCUUCGGACCUUGCGCGAUUGAAUGAGCCGAUGUCGGAUUAGCUAGUUGGCGGGGUAAAGGCCCACCAAGGCGACGAUCCGUAGCUGGUCUGAGAGGAUGAUCAGCCACACUGGAACUGAGACACGGUCCAGACUCCUACGGGAGGCAGCAGUGGGGAAUAUUGGACAAUGGGCGCAAGCCUGAUCCAGCCAUACCGCGUGGGCGAAGAAGGCCUUCGGGUUGUAAAGCCCUUUUGUUGGGAAAGAAAAGCAGCAGGUUAAUACCCCGCUGUUCUGACGGUACCCAAAGAAUAAGCACCGGCUAACUUCGUG